ACACACUUGUAUAUGAAUAUAUAUACACUCACACAUAUAUGCACAUACAUACAGAUUAUUGUAAAUCAUUACUGUUAAAUGCUAAAAAAAAUGACAUUUCAGUUGAUUGCAUCAAAUAUUUCAUUAUUUUGUGUUUGUUUGCUGUUUCUAUUUCUGUCCAGUAAUCACCCCCAUGAUGUGAUGUUUAAUAACAGUCCACAUGCGUUUGACUUAAUCUGUUCACUUCGUUUCCUCCGCCAGACUCUGACACCGACGAGAUAAACCGUGUUUUCAGACAGACCAGAGCAAAUAUUCAUAACAAUCAUCCACUUCAAGUGUCCUCGCAGCUGCCAGCGUUGCCAUGGAAACCAGCAUCCGUCUCCGUCUGGAGAUCGUGUCUGGGAUCCGUCUGAACGAAAGGGGAGAAGAGUGACGACUCGAUUCAUAAAAACGAUCAAGAUCCAAAAGACAAUCAUAUAAAACAGUGUCUCUCGUAUGAAACCUUUCAACAACAACAACAACAACAACAUGGUCUGCACUGCUGAUCAGA